AAAUCUGACUGGUAACUCUUUGCUUAUUUCACUUUUGAAAAUUCCUUGCUGCUGACCUCUUCAAGAAUUCUUAAUCUAUGGUUAACUGAAAGAUAGGGUAUAUGUCACGAGAUGCAAGAACCUUGGUUGUGUUCUGGUUUAAUUAUGCAGAAUUUGUCUUGCACUUUGAUGACUUUGAUGUCUGUGGAAGUGGAUAAAUGUUGCUGGCUUUGAGGGGCUGAUGCGUGGUGCCUACUUGAAGAUUUGUGCCUGGCUUGGAUCACAUCUUUGUUGUUUGAUGAUUGUUGUCUUCUGUUUUUGUUACUCUUUUAGCUUUCUUUAGCUUUCUUUUUGUUGUCAUCUUGUGUAUGUGUUGCUUGUUGUGAGUCUCGUGGCUACUUCUUUGACACUAUUUGUUUUGCUGUUUUAACUCGUGUUAUGCUUACUUGGGAGAGCUUUGUUGCCAAGAAUCUUUUAUUAUAUCUAUUGUGAUUGCCUUUUCAAAAAAAAACUUUGUGACAUAUGGUGUUGAUUUGUAUAUCCAGGAGGAACUUUUGGAGCUGCAGGAUCCUAAUUUUGCUUAUACUUUGAGAAGUCAGCAACAACGAGCCUUAGAAUUAUGGGAGAAAAACUGGCAUAGUGGUGCACCCCUUAAAAGAAAGCAUCUUGCUUGUGAUCCUCAGAGGUUCAUUUGGGCAGUAGGUAUUGCUCAAUCACGAUGUAUCUAUAACUACUGCAAAGGUUAUCUCCAAUGAUACUAUUCAUCCAAGGGUUUUACCCCAUGUGAUCAAGGUCCACCGUAAGGGCAAAUUAAGGUUGCUUUUUCUUAUCUUUUGGUUGGUUUCAUGUAGGUUUGUAAACUUUUUUGGGUUUUAUCGUGUUGAUUUGCUUUUUGUUGCUCACCUGGUCAGUGGAAAGUUAAUGGAUGAAUUUGCAGUACAAUUUACUUUUCGGGGAACUUUUGAUAGGAUAAAGUUGUUCGAUUGUUUUGUGUGUGAAAUUGCUUUCAAUUUGUGGGAAUGGUGUUUUUCAUUAGGUUGUGUAUAGAAUAUAUGUUCUGUUAAUUUUAUUUUUGACAGUAGUGAAUGAAACUUGAAUGA